rnacentral:rRNA from 1 species
GACGAACGCUGGCGGCGUGCUUAACACAUGCAAGUCGAACGCUGAAGCCCAGCUUUUGUUGGGUGGAUGAGUGGCGAACGGGUGAGUAACACGUGAGUAACCUGCCCUCUUCUUUGGGAUAACGUCAGGAAACGGGUGCUAAUACUGGAUAUUCACUGGUCUUCGCAUGGUGGUUGGUGGAAAGGGUUUUUCUGGUGGGGGAUGUGCCCGCGGCCUAGCAGCUUGUUGGUGGGGUGAUGGCCUACGAAGGCUUUGACGGGUAGCCGGCCUGGGAGGCGGCCUGGGCACAUUGGGGGUGAGAUACGGCCUGGACUCCGACGCGGAGCAGCAGUGGAGGAGAUUGCGCAGUGGGGGCAAGGAUGAUGCGGCGCCGACGCGUGAGGGGUCGAGGCCGGGGGGUUGUGAACCGCUUUGGCUAAUGGUCAAGCCGGAGCAGUGGUGGUAGUGACGGUAGUGGGUAAAGAAGCGCCGGCUAACUACGUG